UGCCUUGGGCUACACACGUACUACAAUGGCCGGUACAGAGGGAGGCGAAGGCGCGAGCCGGAGCGGAUCCCAUAAAGCCGGUCCCAGUUCAGAUCGCAGGCUGAAACCCGCCUGCGUGAAGUCGGAAUCGCUAGUAAUCUCAGGUCAGCAUACUGAGGUGAAUACGUUCCCGGGCCUU
rnacentral:rRNA from 1 species